GAUCCUGGCUCAGAUUGAACGCUGGCGGCAGGCCUAACACAUGCAAGUCGAACGGUAACAGGAAGAAGCUUGCUUCUUGCUGACGAGUGGCGGACGGGUGAGUAAUGUCUGGGAAACUGCCUGAUGGAGGGGGAUAACUACUGGAAACGGUAGCUAAUACCGCAUAACGUCGCAAGACCAAAGAGGGGGACCUUCGGGCCUCUUGCCAUCGGAUGUGCCCAGAUGGGAUUAGCUAGUAGGUGGGGUAACGGCUCACCUAGGCGACGAUCCCUAGCUGGUCUGAGAGGAUGACCAGCCACACUGGAACUGAGACACGGUCCAGACUCCUACGGGAGGCAGCAGUGGGGAAUAUUGCACAAUGGGCGCAAGCCUGAUGCAGCCAUGCCGCCGUGUAUGAAGAAGGCCUUCGGGUUGUAAAGUACUUUCAGCGGGGAGGAAGGGAGUAAAGUUAAUACCUUUGCUCAUUGACGUUACCCGCAGAAGAAGCACCGGCUAACUCCGUGCCAGCCGCCGC
rnacentral:rRNA from 1 species